GAGAGAGACAUAAUGGUUAUGGUAUCGGCUUGAAACCGAUUUCUGGGGGUUCGAAACCUUCCUUUCUUG
rnacentral:tRNA from 1 species